AUUGAACGCUGGCGGCAUGCCUUACACAUGCAAGUCGAACGGUAACGCGGGGCAACCUGGCGACGAGUGGCGAACGGGUGAGUAAUACAUCGGAACGUGCCCAGUAGUGGGGGAUAGCCCGGCGAAAGCCGGAUUAAUACCGCAUACGACCUACGGGUGAAAGCAGGGGAUCGCAAGACCUUGCGCUAUUGGAGCGGCCGAUGUCAGAUUAGGUUGUUGGUGGGGUAAAAGCCUACCAAGCCGACGAUCUGUAGCUGGUCUGAGAGGACGACCAGCCACACUGGGACUGAGACACGGCCCAGACUCCUACGGGAGGCAGCAGUGGGGAAUUUUGGACAAUGGGCGCAAGCCUGAUCCAGCCAUGCCGCGUGCGGGAAGAAGGCCUUCGGUUGU
rnacentral:rRNA from 1 species